UACUCCUACGGGAGGCAGCAGUGGGGAAUUUUCCGCAAUGGGCGAAAGCCUGACGGAGCAACGCCGCGUGAGGGAUGAAGGCCUCUGGGCUGUAAACCUCUUUUAUCAAGGAAGAAGAUCUGACGGUACUUGAUGAAUAAGCCACGGCUAAUUCCGUGCCAGCAGCCGCGGUAAUACGGGAGUGGCAAGCGUUAUCCGGAAUUAUUGGGCGUAAAGCGUCCGCAGGCGGCCCUUCAAGUCUGCUGUUAAAAAGUGGAGCUUAACUCCAUCAUGGCAGUGGAAACUGUUGGGCUUGAGUGUGGUAGGGGCAGAGGGAAUUCCCGGUGUAGCGGUGAAAUGCGUAGAUAUCGGGAAGAACACCAGUGGCGAAGGCGCUCUGCUGGGCCAUCACUGACGCUCAUGGACGAAAGCCAGGGGAGCGAAAGGGAUUAGAUACCCCUGUAGUCCUGGCCGUAAACGAUGAACACUAGGUGUCGGGGGAAUCGACCCCCUCGGUGUCGUARCCAACGCGUUAAGUGUUCCGCCUGGGGAGUACGCACGCAAGUGUGAAACUCAAAGGAAUUGACGGAAUCACGAA
rnacentral:rRNA from 1 species